CAACUUUGAAAAAAUUUCAAGUAUAGAGGUCUACCGUUUUGGCUUAGUAUGAAAACAAUAAAAAAAUCAAACAACUUGUUGCAUUUAUUUUGAAUAAUGAUUUUGAAUAAAUGACUGAAUUAAAGGUCAACACUUCUUUUCAAAAUCGUGUACUAUAUAUCUUUUUUUUUGGUUUAUUGAAAAGUAAUUGUUGGAUAGGUACCCGUAGUACCUAUAUACCAAGACUAGUUUUGCUUACAUAUUAGUGAACACUUAAGUAACUAAAUAAUUGAACUAGUUCCAUGGUGAAUGUGACAUCAUUUUUGUUUACAAUUCAAUUUUGACUGAAGUAAUGAAGUUACAGAGUUCCUUGGUGACGGUGUUUGUUCGGUGUUUCAAUAAAGCAGGUACAUUACAAACAUCACACAAAUUAGUGUCUGUCAGCUUCAUUUUAAGAAGGUUCUAAAGACAGUUCGGCAUGCCAGUGUUUUUUUGGUGGAGAUGGAAAAAAAACUAGAGAAGGCUUCAUAUAUUUCCACACGAGCAUCCUUAACGGCUAAGUUGGACGAAAUGACACAGCCAGCAUCCACGGCUUGUCUGGAAAAAUAAUCUGCGCGUUCAUUCGAUUGGAUUCCAAUAUGGGAAGGAACCCACAGAAAAGACCUGGUAAGAGGGAUUUUCUGAAUUUGUCUAAUAUGUCUAAACCUUCCGUGCAGUUCAGCGAGCUCUGAUACUUUGGAAAAGGAUGAAUGUUCAUAAACAGGGAUUGAAGGUGUAACAUUGAUGGGACUGGCUACUGGAUGAUUGAUAAUGGUGCGAGGAGCUGCUAUUUUGCUGUACUUUAUUUUUGCGAUUCUUCUGUUUAUUUCUUCAUUAAAGUUUCUUAUAUUUUGAUUAGAAGAUUUACUCAUUGGAGGAAAUUGAGAAUUGUAGUUGCCAUCAGCUAAAAUGUUGUAAUAAUUGUGGGAUUCUGGGUACGUUUGCAAGACUUCCUUUCUACAUCUGCAGCGUAUGGCAAUGUGACCAAGACGCCCACAGUUUUUACAAAGACGUACCGGGGGUACAUAUAAAUCAGGUUUAAUCCUAGUACCACACAUAAAAAUAGAUUGAGGGACUCCAUUACAGAUUAUUCCAACCUUGACUAUUUCAGUCUCUUCUAUUUUGUUAUUUUCGGUUUUCCUUGUAAAUCUGUAUACAGAUAUUACUUCCAUAUCAUUGUUUUGUUCAAUAGAUUUUUUUAUGGUUAUACCAUCAAUGGAUUUAGGAACAUUUUUUAUGACAUAAAACUUUUGAAUAAAACGCUCAGGGAUUUCGGCUUUUAAUACAAUUUCUUUAAGUUGCUGAUUUUGAACAAAUGAAUUUGCCAGUGCAAAGUUAUUGAAAGUAAUGCGGAAUGUAUUAUAUCCUAUGUUUUUACAAACGUAGUUGGUGGGAACAUUAAUUUUUUGAAAAAGGGCAUAAAGAUGUAGUUCGCAGUUUUUCCUCCUGGAACUAAUUGGAGUUUCCAAGGUCACAAUAACAUAAAAUGGUCCCGGAUGGUGUUGUGGGUAACAAAUGUUUGAUUGUAAGGCAUUAUAAUUGAAUUCAAUUUUUUCAGACACAUCAGAAUCAUUAGAUGAGACUUCUGAUACAUCUGUGUUUUUGAUGGGUUCACCAUUAUUGUUUAUGAAUAUUUUUUUUUUUGAUUAGACAUUAGAUGUGCCCUGCGUUUAUUUGGGUCCCAGAUAGGUGUUGGGGGCGGUUCCCCGUCGGCAUCCAUUUUUUAGAAAAAAAAAAACAAAUGUUUUUUCAAUUUUCUACUUAAUUUUCUUUGUUGAAAAAAAAAUUCAAAAGAAAAUCAAAAUGUCGCGAAAGCAAAACAAAUGUUUGUGUUUGUCUCAAUGUGUGAGUGUUAAAAAAACAAAACUAGAGUUAAAAGGCGCAGUCUAGCAUCAACAAGGGUUGAGUAGCGACUGCUAUAUAUCUCUAAAGGAUUAUUUCGCUACAAAAACUCUAGAUUUUGUCGAUGCAUACGUUGAAAUAAACACCCGAAUUUGAUUCUGUACAAUUUUUUUUGUUAUUGAAAAGAAAACACAUACAUAAACAAAUAAAGAUGACAUAUUAAGCCAAUAAAAUUAAAAAAAAACUGAAAACUCGUAAAAACACUGAAAACUCAGUCCUAUACCAACCUUUUAAAAUCGAGUGGAUUCAAAAUGCCCAUCCUAGACUGCCCGACUAGAUGGAAUUCUACAUAUUUAAUGUUGGAACGUUUGUUUGAUUUAAAGGAGUUCAUCAAUUUGGUUAAAGUCGAUCGUCCGUUUUUCGAUAUAUCUGAAAGUAGCUGGAAAUCAAUUGCCGAAUUUUUAAAAUUAUUUACGACAUAUCUAAGAAGUUACAAUCGAAAAAUCUCAUUUAUAGUGAGUUAUAUAUACAAAUCAUGAAUAUUAUACUUCAAUUGGAAAGACUCCCAAGCACUAAAUUAAGUGCACUUCUAAUCGAAGCUGUAAGAAAAAGGAAAUGCAUGCUAUUUGAUAAUGAUUUAUUUUUGACCGCUAUAUUUUUGGACCCAAGAAUUAAAGUUUCAUUAAAUAACAAAGAUAUUGCAAGAGCAAAAAAUUAUAUACUUCAAUUAAAUACACGAAUUUCAGCUUUGAAAGGAAAUAAUAUUACAGCUACAUCUUUUUCUGAAUCCGAAUUUUCUAAUUCAACCUCUGUCGCCGAACAAGACAGCCCAUAUUUGCAAUAAAUGGAAAUAUUAUAGACUAUUGGACAAAAGAAAACAAUACCCUAACAACAAUUGCAUUCAUUGUGUUAGCGAUUCCAUUUACACAAGUAAGUGUCGAGAGAGUGUUUUCGACAUUAAAAUACAUAUUAGCAGAUCAGCGAAAUAAGCUAAUACCAACAAAUUUGGAGCACAUUUUAUUAACUAGAGUAACUGGAGCAUUUGAAUAUGAAGUCUAAUUAUUUUUUUAAACCAUUUUUAUAUUAUAAUUUUCUUAAUACGUUUUCAAAUACAAAUAAAAAUACAUGAAUUCAUCUUAA